rnacentral:sRNA from 1 species
CGGUGAUGAUCUGCGGACAGAUCAGAUGCACGUGACAGUCGAUGGUGCCCGCCGUGACGAUGCGGCCGUUGCCGCUGAUGAUUUCGGUGGACGGUCCGACAACCAGGUCCCGAUGCACGCCCGGCAUGAUGUCGGGGUUGCCGGCCUUCCCGAUGCCCACGACGCGCCCAUCGCGAAUCCCGAUGUCGGCCUUGAUGAUUCCCCAGUAGUCGAUGAUCACCGCGCCAGUGAUAACGGUGUCGGGGGCCCCCUCGGCCCGCGUUGCCCUGCCCUGGCCCAUCGAUUCGCGCAG